rnacentral:rRNA from 1 species
GAACGCGAAGACCCAGCAAUGGGUUGGUAGCGUGGCAAACGGGUGAGUAGCGCGUGGGCGACCUACCUCCGAGUGGGGGAUAACCUUCCGAAAGGGAGGCUAAUACCGCAUGACAUCCCACUUUUGGAUAAGUGGACAUCAAAGCCGGGGAUCGCAAGACCUGGCGCUUGGAGAGGGGCCCGCGUCCGAUUAGCUAGUUGGUGAGGUAACGGCUCACCAAGGCUCCGAUCGGUAUCCGGCCUGAGAGGGCGGACGGACACACUGGAACUGAGACACGGUCCAGACUCCUACGGGAGGCAGCAGUGGGGAAUUGUUCGCAAUGGACGCAAGUCUGACGACGCAACGCCGCGUGGAGGAUGAAGACCUUCGGGUCGUAAACUCCUUUCGACCGAGAUGAAGAGGUGCCGACCUAACACGUCGGCGCAUUGACAGUAUCGAGGGAAGCAGCCCCGGCUAACUCCGUG